rnacentral:rRNA from 1 species
GAUGAACGCUGGCGGCGUGCUUAACACAUGCAAGUCGAACGGAAAGGCUCCUGCUUGCCGGGGUACUCGAGUGGCGAACGGGUGAGUAACACGUGGGUGAUCUGCCCUGCACUUCGGGAUAAGCCUGGGUAACUGGGUCUAAUACCGGAUAGGACCACAUCUAGGAUGGUGUGGUGGAAAGUUUUUCGGUGUGGGAUGAGCUCGCGGCCUAUCAGCUUGUUGGUGGGGUAAUGGCCUACCAAGGCGUCGACGGGUAGCCGGCCUGAGAGGGUGUACGGCCACAUUGGGACUGAGAGACGGCCCAGACUCCUACGGGAGGCAACAGUGGGGAAUAUUGCACAGUGGGCGCAAGCCUGAUGCAGCGACGCCGCGUGGGGGAUGACGGCCUUCGGGUGAUAAACUGCUUUCGCUAGGGACGAAGCGCAAGUGACGGUACCUGGAGAAGAAGCACCGGCUAACUACGUG